rnacentral:rRNA from 1 species
UACACUCCUGCGGGAGGCAGCAGUGGGGAAUUUUGGACAAUGGGCGAAAGCCUGAUCCAGCAAUGCCGCGUGAGUGAAGAAGGCCUUCGGGUUGUAAAGCUCUUUUGUCAGGGAAGAAACGGUGAGAGCUAAUAUCUUUUGCUAAUGACGGUACCUGAAGAAUAAGCACCGGCUAACUACGUGCCAGCAGCCGCGGUAAUACGUAGGGUGCAAGCGUUAAUCGGAAUUACUGGGCGUAAAGCGUGCGCAGGCGGUUUUGUAAGUCUGAUGUGAAAUCCCCGGGCUCAACCUGGGAAUUGCAUUGGAGACUGCAAGGCUAGAAUCUGGCAGAGGGGGGUAGAAUUCCACGUGUAGCAGUGAAAUGCGUAGAUAUGUGGAGGAACACCGAUGGCGAAGGCAGCCCCCUGGGUCAAGAUUGACGCUCAUGCACGAAAGCGUGGGGAGCAAACAGGAUUAGAAACCCCUGUAGUCCCAUGA